CGCUACUGGCUUCGAGUGGGGCGUACGUGCGGACAGGGCUAAGCACCGUAGCUUUACAACUCCAGCUAAAAAUGGAGGAAGAGACCGUCAGGAUGGCCGCACGACAUGAGUUCGCCAAAAAAUGGGAGAAUAUAUGAUAGAAGAAGAGAAAUAGAGAGAAAGUAGAGACAAAGAAAAGAGGAGGGAGCUAGUAGAAUCCAGUUUCUUAGAAGAAUCCGGCUUCGUGCUCUCUUUCUCUGCCUCUCACUAUCUCUCUGUUUCUCGCACAGCACAGCUCACUCUCACUCUCGCUCUCUCUCGCGCCGCCCUCGCCUCUCUCUCGCUCGAGCUUUCCUCUCUCUCUCUCUCUCUCGCUCACAGGCCUCUCUCUCUCU
rnacentral:lncRNA from 1 species